rnacentral:tRNA from 1 species
GGGGCCGUCGGCUAGCCUGGAAGGGCGCGUCUCCUCAGAAGGCUGCGGGGUUUGGGUCCCCGUGAUCCCGGGUUCAAAUCCCGGCGGCCCCACCA